rnacentral:lncRNA from 1 species
GUAAAACUUGGUUUGACAUUCCAAUUUACCACUGUACUACAAUUUUUGAGGACGAGACAUGAUGUUUCAGAUCUUUCAUUCCUCGUCACUGGCAAGGACAAGUGCAGCAUGAUAGCUCGCAUUCUACAAAUGUACACGCUAAAACAUUAAAACAUGUAAUAGCAAUUAUUGCGACAUGAAAGGCUAAAUUAAGGUAGGUCUCAAUUGGCAAAAGCAUUCAAUGUAUUGUAACUUGGCUUAGCUGUAAUAAAAACAAAUGUGUCCCAUGAUCUUUCUCUUUUCUUUUUAGUAUAAUUUGCUAGAAUAAAGCAGCAAGCUCCAUGAAUGAGAAAGAGGAGUAAGACAUGAUCAUAGGACCCCAAUUCGAAAGGAACCAGUAGCUUUGCAGUCUUGAACCAAACAUAUCUACCACAAAUAACAUCUAGGUUUAAUAACACCAAAUUAUAGAGUUGUACUAAUCAUAACUUCUGAAAUUGAAAUAAAACAUAAAUAACAAAGAAAUUGAGGAAAAUUAAUAGAAAAAUGCAUAUAUGUCUGCAUAUGUACUCAAAAGUAUUAAGGAUGGCCGAGAAGCAGAAGUAACAUUUGACAAAUUUGACCAUGGACCAAUGAUGGAUAAUGAGUAUUUGUUGAGCUAUUUUUUCGGAGAAAAAAAGCAGCUGCUUGUCUCUUAAAAUACCUCUUCAGUAUUACUCAUAAUGGUCUUUCUUGCUUCCAAAUGAGGAAAAAAUAAACAGAAAACGGGGAUAUGAAAAAUAAAGUAACAGGAUGAUACUUUAGCUAUUUCAAGUCCUAAUCGCCUUGUUCCUUAAGAGUGAGAUUGUGACGGUGCAAUUUAGUUGGUUGUCAAUUUUGAUCACACUCUCACACAUGAACUAUACAGCAAUUCCUUGCACCCACCAAAAAAAAUAUUUAAUUACCUUUUGACAAGAUGGAUUCUCUGCUGAAGAACGGAUCCAAGGAAGUACCACGAUCAUGAAGGAAUAGCUCAACCCACCCAGAUGUAUACUCAAGUUGAUUCCGACUUCGACGAUUGCCGAAUCCAAAUAAAAGAAAUACACUAGAAUCUUAGCUACGAAAGUGGAUGCAUUUCCCAUCUAUACUUUAUUUGAAUUCAAAAAAGUGUGACCUCUAGUUCAAAAAUAAAGUUACUAUUUCAUACAUAUAUACAUAUUCGAAAGGUGAAUUUAUUGUUAGCCUAUCCAUAAUACAAAUGAGACUUCAAGGAUCAUCUUAUAUGGAGUCGUAUAACAGUCAAAAGUGAGUGACUGUUCAUCGGAAUUGUUAUACUCCAAAUAUUCAUAACGUUGGUCGACGCCCGCCUCCCUCCCAAUUGUACUUGCAAGUUUCCCCUGUCGUAAAGUUCAUUGUUCGUUCCGUCGUUGACCCUAUCUAUGUUUCUACAAUGGCCCAAGAACACGAUCAUUCUUUAGCCGUAGAGAGACUUUUGAAUUGCUAGGUACCACUACGAGCUCAAUAUAUACGAGUGUUAUUCCGUGAAAUAACUCGAAAUUCAAAUCAUUCACUUGCUUUAACUACUCAUGCUAGUCUGCUCAUUUCAUUUAUGACGCAAAAUUGGAAUUAUAUAUAUAUAUAUAUAUAUAUAUAUAUAUAUAGGAGAAGGAUCCUGUCCGGACUCCCGGACAGGCUUAAAAUGCAGACCUUUAAAUUUAUUUAUUUUUUUUGCUCUUUUUUUUAAAACAACUAAAAAAAAUAAUUAUGGAACUGGAAUUUUUACAUAAUACAGUGUUUUGGGUGUGAUUUGGAUACAUAUAACAAAACAUGUCUGUACAGACUGUACACACCUAAAACACUGUAUUAUGUAAAAAUUCCAGUUCCAUAAUUAUUUUUUUUAGUUGUUUUAAAAAAAAAACAAAAAAAAAAAAGUUUCGUAUUUUGGUAAAGUCCGGGAUCCUAUCCGAACUUUCUUAAAAUACGGAUUUUUUUUUUGUUUUUUUUUUAAAACAACUAAAAAAAAUUUAAUAUUUUAUGGAACUGGAAUUUUUAUAUAAUACAGUGUUUUGGGUGCGUAUAACAAAACAUGUAUAUAUAGUCUACUGUACAUACAUAUUUUGUUAUAGGUAUCCAAAUCACGCCCAAAACAUUGUAUUAUGGAAAAAUUCCAAUUCCAUAAAAUAUUAAAAUUUUCUUUUAGUUGUUUUAAAAAAAAAGUGUACGGAUUUGAUCAGGUCCGGGAGUCCGGACCUGAUCCGCUGUAUAUAUAUAUAUUAUAGGUAAUUUUGGUUCCAAGAAUGGGGAUUAAAACUAGCAACCUUGAGGUUAUUCCUCUGCAAAUAAAAUGAAGUUAAGUUCAUUAAUAAAUCAAAAGCAUGAGAAUGAGAAAGACUGAUCACAUGGAUGGUGGAUGUUUACUCAAUUUGGCCAACAUUUUAUAAGUGGAAUUCUAGCUAAGAUUAUUUUAAAUUCCAGAAAUCAUUCAUAUAAUUUAUUCCUCAUAUUUAAUCAUUAAAAAUUUCUCUUACACUUCACAUGAAUAUUAAACAUGUAACAAACACCGACAGUACAUCCUUAGAUUUUUUUUAUUUUAUUUAAGGACCAAAAAUGAGAGGUCCGUAAGGUAUCCCAAACUCUCGGCAUGGCACAUUGCGCCUACAACAACUGCACACAUCUAAAUGAACUCCCAUCGUACCUAUGUCGAGGUCGAAGAACCAUGACCAAUCUCCUUGUUCAAAAAUAGAGGCACGACGCAAUGGCGUGUAAGACAUACAGUUGCCACCAGCCAUCUGUGGUUGGUAGAAAUCGAACCCAAGUUUGAGCAUGGUAAACGACCCACUUACAUCCUUAGAAUUUUAUGGGUACCAAAAGGAGACUAAUAAAUAACCCACUAAAAGAAACCAUUUUUACAAAGACGCAUCAGGGGAAUGGGGGUAGAUUGAAUGACUUUUAGAAUAAUCAUUACUCAUCCGUACAUUUUGUUCAUAAAAGCCAUAAGGAUGAUUAUUCUGAAGGAAAGGUCUUUCAUGUAUAUCCAUGAAUGAUACCAUGAGCCUUCCUUCAUGAGAAAAAAUUGGUCCAGUAUAGAUUUGUAAUAAAAAAAACUCAAAACCCCAACCCCCCUUCUUUUCAUCACAGCCUACAUACUAGAGAAGAGAAAGAGUAGAGCUCUGCAUCCCCACCUCCCUUCUCUAUCCCAAAUCUCCUCCAGCAAGCUCUAUACGAACUCUCAAAGGCCCGUAUGACUUUAGCCUAGAACUUUUCUACGACCUCUAUUUAAACGGUAACAAAUUUUUAUCAAAUUUGUUUAUCCACAAACGGGAUUGUAAUGUAUGUUAUUAUUUUACACACAAAUUAGCAAAACAAGGAAAACUCAUAUCACCCACUGAUUCUCGAAUAAAUUUGAGACUGCUACACAAAUGCAUCCCCAACCACAUCUGUUAAGGAAUCUCAUUAUUAUCCUCUAAGGUGCAAUUACACAAACAAAAAUUAUUCCUCACCGAGGCAUCCUAACUAUUCUCCGUUUAUAAAGGAACCUUCAUAGAAUCAUAGUUAUCACUUAAAGUAAUCCCAGAGGACGAUUCAAUGAGUUCUUAACGAUAGUCCUAUGCUAAGAGAGAGGUAUUGAAAUAUAUUAGUGCCCCCUAAAUCGGCUCAUUUAUCAUCUUCUUCACAAACAUCACCAGUCUAUAUCCUAAAUCUUAUAAUUCUAAUCAUCCUAAGCAUAUAGUCUUAUUGUCAAAGGAUUGACACAUACCAUAAUUUCAAGCAAACUGCACAAUUGGACAUAUUCCUUGCUUUAAUUUGAAUUCCUUCAUGCAUAACAUAAACAGAAAAUAAGGGGCAUAAAGAAGAUCACUCAACCAUGAAAAAAAAUUGAUAAAACAACAAAAUAGAAUCAAUCUUAAAUACAAACAUAUGGGCUUACCAGACUGUAUUCAGGAAAAUUUACUAAAAAAAGCUGCACCAGCUGUGAACACACAUACGGAUGAUUUUCCUGUUAGUGGGAGGGAAUAAGUAUCUAAUGUGGUUUUUCCGAGUUUAAUUGUGAAGGAGGAGAUAGAGAUUAAAGAAAUUUAUGAAAUGGGUAUUAGAAAUAAUUACCUAAAAUCACAAAAAGUUGAAAACUUGAGACCUAACUAGCUCCAUCAGGACCCAAAAAUUGAAUAUGCUAGGGGUGAAAUUGUGCGGCAAAAUCAAUUACAUUCGAGGAGCUUAUAUCACGCGAAUGCCUACUGCUACUGGUAUGACAAAUUUGGGUUGAAAAUAUUAAAGUAGAAUGG